CUGCUCUACGGAACCCGUCACACGGGUGACGCCCGGCCCAGAGAACCCCCUGCACAGAGGCCUGCGUUCCAUCUCCUGGGAGGGUAGCUCCAAAGGACACCCAGCGCCUGGAUCGGAGGGGUCGCUUUAGUUUCUGUGAGGCUUAUUUCAAAUAAGAAAAAUGUCCCUAAAAGGCAGUGGUAGCUCAUUCACUCCUGCCCCUGGCUCUCUCAAUGUGAGAUGUCAACUCCAAUUAAAAGCUUAUUUAUUUUCAAAUGAAACGAUCAUGCUACUGGGAAACAAACAAUAGGAGCGAAAUCUGUGGCCUAAUUCAUUAAAAGCGCAAAUUACCAAGGAGUUGCUUGGAAAGGGGAGCCAGUGGAGAAGGCGAGCACAGAACAUGUCAUGGGAGAGAGAGAGCUGUCACAGCCGGUUUGGGCGAGCUAGAGGCACGUCAACAGAUUAAACUCUCCAUUUCAGUGUUUCCUUCGCAUGAACCGAGAGAAGACAGAGGAUCUUCCCGACUAGCGGCCAGAGUAGGCUGCCCUUUAAAUACAUGUAUAGAAAUCUCUUCCUAUUUAGCAAUAGCACGGUUCCCAUUUUUAGUGCAUUGUUGCAUUCCCCAGAUAAAAUCUAACACUCCUGGAGGAAAGGUGUAAUAUCUGUCACGAAGAUUUCUCUUUUCAGUACACAAUACUUGGGCUUUUCUUUUUUUGAAGAAUUACGUUUAUGACUGAUCACUCAACACCUUGUUGGCUCUGAUUGCAGAAAACCCACCUUAUAAAUAUAUGAUAACCACCCUGUAAUAGGGAGUGUGACAAUUUACUUCACAGUGCAUUUCAGGCUGCUAAUUGAUCGUUUCAGUCCAGGACUAUGCGGAAUAAAUUAUAGCCAUCAAAAGGAUAUCACAGUUCAUUUUGGUAGAAUGGUUUCUGUGUCACUUCUUGUUCGUCUUUUGCCCAGUAGCUGCAUUAGCCUCAUGUGUUGUUUUGUUAUUACUAGCUGUUUCCAUGUCAGAAAUGCAAAUCUGAGAAUGAACACUAGAGGCCGCUCUAUUUGCAUACUUCUACCACGAUCAGGCGCGUGGUCUGCCUACACCAGCCAAAGAGUAAGAAGGUUUGAAUCAGAAACCUCACAAUUAAAAGGCUUUGAAUCAUUUGGAGAAGGCCAGUUGGACUUACAAGAGAGUAAGUACCGAAUAUCCUUUACUACCAUCCAGGUUAGCGAGAGUUAAAAGGGACGCAUAUUUGCCAUAGACUUUUGACAACGAUCAUGAUUUUCCCUCCCAUUAUGAAUUACAGCUUUAUUGUCUGAUCAUAAGAGUGGGUGUGUGGCUCUUAUCAUUUUGCUACCGUAAACUAUUCGAUAAAAACUGGUUUUAUUUCUUCCCUUCCAGUCUUUUCUCUCCCUCCUCGCUGUAAAUUUAUAAAAGCUAUACUAAUCAGUUUACGAUCUAAGACCAAAGAUUCAAGUUACCACAAAUGCAGGGAAAGGAAGAAGGAAAAAAGAAGGGACUAAAGUAUUGAAAUUCAAGAUCAAAUACCCACAGGAAAUGCUUACAGUUACUAUUUGUAUGAUUACAUGUAUAUGUAUCCUUUAUUCUCUGUAGUUUUUGCCCUUUAAUAAAUUAUGGGUUGCAGAAAACAUGCUAUAAACUAACUCGUAAUAUACAAAAGAUUCACUAAAAUCCGUGAAUAAUCUGAGGUAAACCCAUAGUAGCCCAGAAAUUCAAGAUCUCUUAAUUAUCUUCGUAAAUCACUAUCUGUAUAUUGUAGUAUUUAUGGUACCGGAAUUCACCUACUCUUUUCAAUCCCCUCAAGUACCCCUACAUCUAUAGGUGAGGUAGACUAGAGCAGGUCAGGGCUGAUCAAGAGCGAAAUUGAGCGGUUCUGGCAAGCUCAUGAGUGAAGUGGGGACGCUUGUCAGUAAGAGAGGCUGAAGUCUGUCCAUUUGUAUGUUAUACAUCAUUUCUUUAUUACGUUGCAUUCGAUGUUCCGUGCUCGACCACAUAUUAGAACGAGACUGUUUCAUACACAGUGAGGAUGCAGGGGAAUUUCUCUCCCCGGUUUGCUCUGGCCUAAUGAAAUGGUUUGAUUUAAAAAGAAGAAAAAAGGCGCGCCCAAAGACUCUUCUCUCCUCCGUCUUCCCUCAGAAUUGCUUCUAAGUAAAGCUUUUUCAAAGAUCAAAGGGCCUGAUCCUGCCGUCUUUGCACCAAAGGGAGUUUGCCUCCCAUCAUGAGAAUUUUGCCUGAGUGAGAACUGCAGGAUUUAGUUCACAGUGUGCUCAGAAUCUCCCUUCAAUCCUCAGCACAUAAAUGGAAGCACAGAUAGGAUCUCUGACAUGGCACACAGAAGCAAUCCAUAUUAUGGUCCACUCUUGAAUUUCUUACUCAGACAAAAUCUGCACUAAUUUCAUUAUUUGUGUUAACACCUGGUUCAGAAGAGCUUUUACCAUCUGUCAGGCACAACAGAAGCACGUCGGCUGAUCCCCUCUAACGCGUGUAAAGACAAGCGAUAAUAUCCAGGGGGAGAAUAUCAGGAGAACCGAGCAUCAAACCCACCUGACUCCACUAUUUCUUCUCGAAAUAGUGAUUGUGAUGAGGAGAAAAUUGUGAAGAAGCGGAUGGGUGCAAUUGGGAAACUUACCCGGAGUCCAUGACAGUGUGUCUGUCUAAUGAUCGACUCUGGCUGUUGUGUGAGAACCAUUUUGGUUUUAUUACUGGUGGUGAUACUACUUUUCAACCUUGGAAGCUGUCCUCUGCCUUGGAAGAUUCAGCAGAAAGACUGCCAGCACCGUCAUUGACAGAAAGAGGAGGCUGGGUUGAACAGUGAAUGCAGAAUUGGGCCCCACAACUAAUGCAUAGCUUUGGUACAUAUCAAGAUUUUACCUCACCUCCUAGGUGUUCCAGGGGAUAUCCCUCCUAUAUUGUGGAAAGAAUAUAAGAUGAGCUUCACAAUUUCAUUGUGGUCGCUUUCAUAUGCAGGAAGCUUUUCAGUUUAAGAGAAAAUCUGAAUGUCACUUUCAUAUAACACAAAUAUUAUAAAAGCAGUAUGUGUGUGUCAGCAUUUCAGUGUGUAUUUUAAAGGGCUUCUAAUGUGAGGAAAAACACGCAAUGACAAGUGUGGAAAAGAGCAAGCACUAAAUUACUGUCAGAAAAAUAAACGCAGUAGCGCUGCUGCACGGUGAUUUACGGGGGCAAUUAGCCACCACCCCACAGAGCUGCUGAGGACAGCACUGCUGCCUGCAGAAGUGUCAGGCAAAGAGGAAGAGGAGCUUUGGCUUUGCCUUUCCAGACAACUUUUCACAAAACGAGAGGGCGAUGGGGAAGGGGGCGGGGGGCAGCAUAUGCUGUAGCACGUCCUUGUUCCGUGUGUAGCUAACCCUUCCCACCCACCCCCAAACUUGACUCCCACACAAAGUGUGUUGAGCACGGCAGUCACCUGCGGUGUGGCCGCGAGGGGGGCGCUCCAGCGGCAGGGCUCUCCUGGUGCCCAGGCAAAGUUGUAUUUUUAAAUCCCCACUCCGCCUCCCCAGCGAUCCUUCCCCGCCGGGCCUUGUCGCCUCCCAUCUUGCAGCCACGGGCUUCGCAUUACAAAAAAAAAAAUCUCCGUGGAGUUUGUGUUCUUUAGGAAUCUGGAGUGGUCUGCAAAUCUGCUUGUUUAUCAU